rnacentral:pre_miRNA from 1 species
GGAUGGCACAAAGGGGUGACCUGAGAACACAAGUACAUUGGAUCCCCUUGUACAAGCCAAUCCACUUGUGUUCUCAAAUUCACUCCUAUGAGGUGAGC